rnacentral:rRNA from 1 species
GUCGAGAAUCUUUCACAAUGGGGGCAACCCUGAUGGAGCGACGCCGCGUGGAGGAUAAGGUCUUCGGAUUGUAAACUCCUGUCAUGCGUGAACAAGGUUGCUUGGUUAAUACCUGGGCAAAUUGAUGGUAGCGCAAGAGGAAGAGACGGCUAACUCUGUGCCAGCAGCCGCGGUAAUACAGAGGUCUCAAGCGUUGUUCGGAAUCACUGGGCGUAAAGGGUGCGUAGGUGGCGUGGCAAGUCAGAUGUGAAAGCCCGGGGCUCAACCUCGGAACUGCAUCCGAUACUGCCAUGCUAGAGUACUGGAGGGGUGACUAGAAUUCUCGGUGUAGCAGUGAAAUGCGUAGAUAUCGAGAGGAAUACCAAAGGCGUAGGCAGGUCACUGGACAGUUACUGACACUGAGGCACGAAGGCCAGGGGAGCGAACGGGAUUAGAAACCCCGGUAGUCC